rnacentral:rRNA from 1 species
AGAGAGAGACAUGCGCGCAUAUCAAUAAGCGGAGGAAAAGAAACUAACAAGGAUUCCCUUAGUAACGGCGAGUGAAGCGGGAAGAGCUCAAAUUUGAAAUCUUCAAGGUUCUACCUUGACGAAUUGUAGUUUAUAGAAGUGUUUUUCUGUUAGUGGAGUGGCAAAAGUUCUUUGGAAUAGGACAUCAUAGAGGGUGAGAAUCACGUAUUUGUACAGUUCCUCCUAGCUGUUGUGAUACACUUUCAACGAGUCGGAUUGUUUGGGAAUGCAGUCCAAAAUGGGUGGUAAAUUUCAUCUAAAGCUAAAUAUUGGCGAGAGACCGAUAGCGAACAAGUACCGUGAGGGAAAGAUGAAAAGAACUUUGAAAAGAGAGUUAAACAGUACGUGAAAUUGUCAAAAGGGAAGCGUUUGACACCAGUGUUGUUUUUCCGAAAAUCAAUUACGAAUGUUUUAUUUUUGAGGAGUUAUGACUUCAUCGGCUUGCUCCUUUCUUUAUGAAACUUUCUUAAUGCACUUUUCGGUUAACAAGUCAACAUCAAUUUCUUUUGUUGUAAAAGGGUAUGAGGAAGGUGGCUUUCUUUUCGGAGAAAGUGUUUAUAGCCUUGUGCCUCUGCAAUCGGAGAGAUUGAGGUCUGCAGCGUAGAUCCUUCGGGGUUAGAUACGUUUGUGCUAAGUUAUAGCUUUUCAUAGACAACUUGUUGACUAUGUUUAGUCUUGUAGCUUACUCGCUGACGCUAUUUUACCUACGCUUAGGAUGUUGAUAGUCACAGCGUGUAC